rnacentral:rRNA from 1 species
AUGAAGCAAUAUGAGAAGAUAAAUGACAAGAUCUUGGUGAAAGAAGGGGGUAAUGAUUACCGAACAGAUGAGCUUGAGCCAAGGCUUUGGUCCCUGUUCCCAAUUGAGAAGCAAGCCUUGCGAGUUUACACAAGGGAUAUAUACUACAGGUUCCAACAUGAGUUUUCUUUGAUUGGCAUGUAUAAUGUUAGGCCUCAAGGUGGCAACAUGUACCUACUUGAGCCUAAUAGAAUUUAUGCAGGGAUUUAUGGGCGUAGAUUGUACAUGGUAACAGCACAGGUUGAUCAGCAAGACUACGGUUGUGAGUGUUGCAAGUUUUACAGGGAUGGGCUGCUUUGCGUCCAAAUCUUGAAAGUGUUCACCCACCUUGGUGUUGAUGAGAUCCCUGAGCGUUACAUACUGCCUAGAUGGACUCAGAACGCUAUUCUUACUGAUAUGCCCCCUGACACAAAAGUCCCUGAUGCCAUGCCUAAAGAGUCUCUGCAGCAAAUAAGGCAUGUUUUCCUGAAUACUAUGUUUGGCAAAAUCUCUAAAUUGGGCAGUAUGUCCGAUGCAGGAGCAGCUUUGUGCAGGUCCUAUGGGCGCAUGUUGGAGACUGAACUGAACCAACUUUAUAAAUCAGGGAGGAAGAAGAAGCCAGCAGCGCCAGCCCAGCCACCAGCCCAGUCUGCCCCCACGAAAGCUUCUAUUGGAGAGCCUAAAGCAAAUCCUUUGCGUAACCCCCCAAAAUCUUCUACUAAGGGAGGCAAGAGAGACAAGAGGUACUAUUCGGGCAUUGAGUUGCAUCCAAAGAAGAAGACAAAAUGUGCAUACUUCAAAGAGUUAGGGCACAAUUGUGCCACUUGCACGCCUGGUCUAAACCGAAGUGCUUGA